rnacentral:rRNA from 1 species
CAUCGUCAGCGUAUUUAGUAUUAAUAUGAGCUAUGAUGUGAUAAUAGAAUCCUCGUGGUCACUAGAUUAUACUUGCUUGUAUUAUUUUUGCUGAGUAUCGUCGGCGUGCACUUCUCCUCUAGUAGAACGUCGCAACCCGUUGGAUGUUUAUCUAUGGCUCAAUUGAUAGUCUUUAAUACUUUAUUGUAUUAGAGAUCAGUGAAGUCCUGAUAAGCUGUCUGACGGUAUACAUAUGAUAUUAAGCCGCAAUUAUUUGCGUUAAACUUACCGCAAGCAAGGUCUUAUUUUGGUAGUGCGGACUUUGUGCUGUCGCUAAAAGAGGCCUACUGUUAGCUGUGUAAUGUUUUUUAACUGGCUUAUUUAUCGGUUAGCGAUGCUACUGCUUUGGGUACUUACAGGACCCGUCUUGAAACACGGACCAAGGAGUCUAACAUGUACGCGAGUCAUUGGGAUAUAUUUAUAUAAACCAAACCUAAAGGCGUAAUGAAAGUAUAGAUUGUUUUUAAACAAUUGAGGGAAGAUGAGUUACGUUACGAUGUAAUUCCGCAUUCCCAGGACGUUCUAUUCUCAUUGAGAAGGGGCG